UAGACGUAAUACAACACCUGGUAUGGAU
rnacentral:piRNA from 1 species